rnacentral:misc_RNA from 1 species
GUAGGUGAACCUGCGGAGGGAUCAUUAAUCGUAACUCCUCCCGCCCUCCGGGGCGGUGGCAGGAUGCAACGAAACCCACUGUUGUCCGACCGCGUUGCCUCGGGGGCGGCUCUCCGGAGCCCCCCCGGUGGACCAAACCAAACUCUUGCGUAACAUUGCAGUCUGAGUGAUUUAUUAAAUGAAUCAAAACUUUCAACAACGGAUCUCUUGGUUCUG